CCCUUAGAUGUUCUGGGCAGCACGCGCGCUACAAUGGUCUUCGCAAACGGAUGCAUUCUCGAAGGAGAAUGCCAAUCUUGGAAUCUAUGCCUUGGUCGGGACAGUUGCUUGCAAUUUUUCGACUCGAACCAGGAAUUCCUUGUAAUCGUGAUUCAUCACAUCACGAUGAAUACGUCCCUGCCCUUUGUACACACCGCCCGUCGCUCCUACCGAUUGAAUGGUCCGGUGAAGUGUUCGGAUCGCGCCGACGUGGGCGGUUCGCCGCCGGCGACGUCGCGAGAAGUCCACUGAACCUUAUCAUUUAGAGGAAGGAGAAGUCGUAACA
rnacentral:rRNA from 1 species